CCCACGGCGCCAUGGCCGGAUGGCCACCACGUCGCCUCCCUCGGUCUAUAAAGGCGUCCACCGAAACCCUAGCCCCCGUCUCACUCAGUGCCCCCUCGAUCCCCAUCGCCCCUCCUCUUCUGCUCGAAUUCGAGCUCGAACAACUCGCGGUUACCGCUGCCUCGCCAUCAUCGUCGCGGCCACAGCCGUCUCCGGCGUGCGGCAACACGUCCAGGAGGUCCACCGCGGCUGGAUUCGUCCAUCUUGGGGACUAGCUCAAGCCAGGAUGUCCUCGAGCCGACGCCAUCUUCAUCUUCUUCGUUCGGCCGCCGCACAUCAUCGUCGUCUCGCCGUCACCACCGCCUCUCCGGCCAGUCCCCGGCCUCCCCGACCUCGCCAUCGCGCUAGCGAUGACGGAGCCCAGGAGCCAGCUGAUCCCGUCGAUGACUACUACUACACCGACGGAGCCUAGUACUACAUGGAGACAGACGACCAGGAGUAGUUAGGAGGCCCCAGGCAGGAGGCCUGCGCCUUUUUGAUCUAGUUGUCGUUGUUUUGCUAGCCUUCUUAAGGCAAACUUGUUUAAUUAUAUUUGUACUCAGAUAUUGAUGCUUUCGCUGACUUAUGUAUCCGGGUCCUCGUGACCCUUGGUUUGUAAUAUAACUCCCUUAUGUUUGAAUUUCUGUCUA